GGCGGCCCGCCCGCCUGGCUGCACUCCUGAGACAUCCCGCCUGCUCAGGGGACCCCAAACCCCUAGAGACCUGGAUACUGAAGGGGAGGAGGCGGGACGCCAGGAAACACCACAGAUGAAGCUUCCAAGUGAGAAGUUCAGGGCUUCACAAUUGAGAACCAGAAAGAAAAGGAGAAACUGGCCUUUGUUGAGUAUCAACUGUCAACAUUCUUGGAUAAGAAAGGGAGAACCCCUCUUAAAGGAGAGUCUUAUGACCUGCUUCAGGAGAGAAGGGCAAGGGGAAGGUGAGGGCUAAGAAUUCCUUCUGCAACAACCCUGACAAAUGAGCAUGGUACUUCCAGGAAAAUUUCUCCAGGGUAGUGAAGCUCAUUACCAGAGAGCCACCCAGACAGCAAGAUGAAGCUUAACAAGGAAUACAAGAACAGCCUCCACUUGGAUUCAAAAUCAGCAACUGCAAAAAUUUCAAGAUAAAAAGACCUCCCUAAUGAUAAAGAAACACAUACAGCAAAAACCUUCAGUUGACUCUGUCUUAUUUCAGCUAUGGAAUUUUAGAAUUGGGUGUAUGUGCACCUGAGCAGUAUUCUUUUCUUUGAUAUUUACAGAACCUGUUGGCCAACAUGUUUCCAGAAACAGAGAACCACUCACGACUUUCUAAUAAAGCUAUUCCACAUGUAGACA
rnacentral:lncRNA from 13 species